UCAGUCUGCAGGCUGACGCCCUAUCCACUGAGCCAAACCAAGUCCUUCAGAUAACUGUUUUUAGAUGGGCAACUGGCCAAAAGGUUAAUUUGCUAACUGGCAGAACUGGGACCUGACAGCACAAUUGUGUUACUUUGAGGCCAGAACCUUGGCUGCAAUGCCCAGAAGCGUUUUGGCUAGGCCUGGAGUAAUACUUGUCUUCAGGCCAAGUUAAAGACAAUCACAGCAGUGCUGUGUGCAGUAAGUUCAGUGGGUAGUUGAGGGACCAGUCCUUUCCUGACCCCAAUGGCUCUCACUACCAAAUGCUAAUGGUAUGCAAUCUUUCUGAGGAGCAGCUACUGAAUAUUAAAAACACAGUUGAAUCUGUAAAUGCCCACUCUGAUUAUACAGUUUGUGUUGUACCUAAGAAUCAUGAUUUGUUCAACA